GAAGAUUCUGUUCCUAUCUCUGGUUUUUGCUGUGAUGCUGAUGAGCGGUUCUGCUCUGCAAUGCAACUGGUGUAUCCCAUAUGUGCGUGAAAAAUGUAACCCCGUUCCUGUAGCGUGCAAUGCCGGCGAAGUCUGUGGCCAUUAUGAAGUUCGUUCUUAUCACCCUGUAGCUGUACUCGUGAGGAAACGAUGCAUGCCACCCAAGAAAUGCCACGAAAGUUUUAUCUACAACGUCAAGUGCUGUCAGACGGACUUCUGCAAUUAGGAGAGAACCAUGGACAAGUCUGACCUAAAGGAAGAUCAUCUCACUCUACACUUUUGUUGAUUUUGUUUUUAAAUCAUGUAUUCAGCAACAGCAGGAGGAUAUUUAAUUAGUUUUGUCUGAGCAUC